rnacentral:ncRNA from 1 species
AAUGACGUUGUUGUUAUUGGUUUAUGCGGUCCCGCCGCGUACCGGCUAGAACCCGGCACUAUAGGAGAAAAACAAUG